AUCCAGCUGAUGAGUUCCAAAUAGGACGAAACGCGCGGUUAAAUUGUAU
rnacentral:hammerhead_ribozyme from 1 species